CAAGAGCAAGAGAAAACCACCUUUGCGGAUCACAUAAUAAUUUCUACUGCAAAGGUUGAGAGGUGGGGAAUGUCAAAAAUGAAGAAAAGCAAAGGUAAGAUAGGAGGGAAAUAGGGGAAGAAAGGCUAAGGGAGGAAGGCAGAAGAGAGGAGGCAAAACAGCACGGAGGAAUCUGAAGGAGUCUGUGAUGAAGAGGCUGCAAUUACCAAGGCCACGUCGCUGGUCACAUAGGAGAGUGAUCAGCAUAUCUUGGGAGCACAGUAGACACAGGUUAAGGAGAUCCCCUGCCUGCAGUGUCCCAAUCAAAUCAUAGGAACACUGUGAGACUCUGGGGUGAGCUUGCAUUUGCAGACAGGAACUGAAGGGCUGGAGAGGUUACACUCACCCAGGUGCAGUUGCCCAGCAUGUGAAAGAGGAGACAUUCUAAACCCUGCACUUAAAAAAUAAAUAAAUAAAUAAAGUUACAGACU
rnacentral:lncRNA from 10 species